UGCUAUCACUCUUGGAUGGACCUGCGGUGCAUUAGCUAGUUGGUAAGGUAACGGCUUACCAAGGCAAUGAUGCAUAGCCGAGUUGAGAGACUGAUCGGCCACAUUGGGACUGAGACACGGCCCAAACUCCUACGGGAGGCAGCAGUAGGGAAUAUUGCGCAAUGGACGAAAGUCUGACGCAGCGACGCCGCGUGAGGGAUGAAGGUUUUCGGAUCGUAAACCUCUGUCAGGAGGGAAGAAAGCGCAUGGCGCCAAUCAGCCAUGCGUUGACGGUACCUCCAAAGGAAGCGCCGGCUAACUCCGUGCCAGCAGCCGCGGUAAUACGGAGGGCGCGAGCGUUAAUCGGAAUUACUGGGCGUAAAGCGCGCGUAGGCUGUUGUGUAAGUUGGGGGUGAAAUCCCACGGCUCAACCGUGGAACAGCCCUUGAUACUGCGCGACUUGAAUCCGGGAGAGGGUGGCGGAAUUCCAGGUGUAGGAGUGAAAUCCGUAGAUAUCUGGAGGAACAUCAGUGGCGAAGGCGGCCACCUGGACCGGUAUUGACGCUGAGGCGCGAAAGCGUGGGGGAGCAAACAGGAUUAGAUACCCUGGUAGUCCACGCUGUAAACGAUGGAUGCUGGAUGUCGGGGAGUAAUCCCCGGUGUCGUAGCCCACGCGAUAAGCAUCCCGCCUGGGGAGUACGGUCGCAAGGCUGAAACUCAAAGAAAUUGACGGGGGCCCGCACAAGCGGUGGAGUAUGUGGUUUAAUUCGAUGCAACGCGAAGAACCUUACCUGGGUUUGACAUCCGGGGGAUCCUCCCGAAAAGGGGGAGUGCCCUUCGGGGAGCCCCGAGACAGGUGCUGCAUGGCUGUCGUCAGCUCGUGUCGUGAGAUGUUGGGUUAAGUCCCGCAACGAGCGCAACCCUUGUCACUAGUUGCUACGAAAGGGCACUCUAGUGAGACUGCCGGUGACAAACCGGAGGAAGGUGGGGAUGACGUCAAGUCCUCAUGGCCCUUAUGGGUAGGGCUUCACACGUCAUACAAUGGUCGGAACAGAGGGCAGCGAAGCCGAGAGGCGGAGCAAAUCCCAGAAAACCGAUCGUAGUCCGGAUUGCAGUCUGCAACUCGACUGCAUGAAGUCGGAAUCGCUAGUAAUCGCGGAUCAGCAUGCCGCGCUGAAGGGGUUCCCGGGUCUUGUACACACCGCCCGU
rnacentral:rRNA from 1 species